rnacentral:rRNA from 1 species
AGAAUGAACGCUAGCGAUAUGCUUAACACAUGCAAGUUGAACGUUGUUUUCGAAUCAGAAUGAGAACAAAGUAGCGAACGGGUGCGUAACACGUGGGAAUCUGCCAAACAGUUUGGGCCAAAUCCCGAAUGAAUAAAAGCUAAAAAGCGCUGUUUGAUGAGCCCACGUAGUAUUAGGUAGUUGGUUAGGUAAAAGCUGACCAAGCCUACGAUGCUUAGCUGGUCUUUUCGGAUGAUCAGCCACACUGGGACUGAGACACGGCCCAGACUCCUACGGGAGGCAGCAGUGGGGAAUCUUGGACAAUGGGCGAAAGCCUGAUCCGGCAAUAUGGCGUGAGUGAAGAAGGGCAACGCAGCUUGUAAAGCUCUUUCAUCGAGUGUGCGAUUGUGACAAGACUCGAAUAAGAAGCCCCGGCUAACUCCGUGCCAGCAGUCGC